rnacentral:rRNA from 1 species
AGGACGAACGCUGGCGGCGUGCUUAACACACGCAAGUCGAGCGGUAAGGCCUCCUUCGGGGGGUACACGAGCGGCGAACGGGUGAGUAACACGUGGGUGACCUGCCCUCAGCUCUGGGAUAAGCCUGGGAAACCGGGUCUAAUACCGGAUAGGACUGCUUGCCGCAUGGUGGGUGGUGGAAAGUUUUUUCGGCUGGGGAUGGGCCCGCGGCCUAUCAGCUUGUUGGUGGGGUGAUGGCCUACCAAGGCGGUGACGGGUA